UUUUAUUUGAGAGUUUGAUCCUGGCUCAGGAUGAACGCUGGCGGCGUGCCUAACACAUGCAAGUCGAGCGAUCUUCUUCGGAAGAGAGCGGCGGACGGGUGAGUAACGCGUGGGUAACCUGCCCUGUACACACGGAUAACAUACCGAAAGGUAUGCUAAUACGGGAUAACAUACUUUUAUCGCAUGGUAAAAAUAUCAAAGCUCCGGCGGUACAGGAUGGACCCGCGUCUGAUUAGCUAGUUGGUAAGGUAACGGCUUACCAAGGCGACGAUCAGUAGCCGACCUGAGAGGGUGAUCGGCCACAUUGGAACUGAGACACGGUCCAAACUCCUACGGGAGGCAGCAGUGGG
rnacentral:rRNA from 1 species